GUAGUGCAAUGGUUAGCACGCGCUCCCGGAAAGGGUGAAAUUUGGGUUCGAAUCCCAUCCGCCG